rnacentral:rRNA from 1 species
UAGUCCACGCCGUAAACGAUGAGCACUAGGUGUCGGCCAAUAAAGGUCGGUGCCGCAGUUAACGCAUUAAGUGCUCCGCCUGGGGAGUACGCACGCAAGUGUAAAACUCAAAGGAAUUGACGGGGACCCGCACAAGCAGCGGAGCAUGUGGUUUAAUUCGAAGCAACGCGAAGAACCUUACCAGAGCUUGACAUCCCUCUGACAGAUCCUUAAUCGGAUUUUCUUCGGACAGAGGAGAC